rnacentral:rRNA from 1 species
UACGUAGGGUGCAAGCGUUAAUCGGAAUUACUGGGCGUAAAGCGUGCGCAGGCGGCUUUGCAAGACAGAUGUGAAAUCCCCGGGCUUAACCUGGGAACUGCAUUUGUGACUGCAUGGCUAGAGUGCGGCAGGAGGGGGAUGGAAUUCCGCGUGUAGACAGUGAAAUGCGUAGAUAUGCGGGAGGAACACCGAUGGCGAAGGCAACUCCCGUGGGCCUGC